UCUCCUUUGGCCUUGUUUGUCUCCCAGAAAACGAGAGAAGGAUCUUGUCGGUCUUCUGAACUGUUGAACCCUCACACCCAUGUUUGCCAGGUCUUGCAGCCAUCAACUUCCCCAGAACCCUGAUGUGUGCAGGGUCCAGGACUGUUCAGAAGGAACGGCUGCUACUCAAGAUAGAGCCAGCAGUUAAAGGAAAUCACCAACUUUUGCUUCUGGUCUUGCCACUAACCAGCUGGCCUUGGGCUAAAAACAAAUAAAGCUGACAUUUAUUGAGCACUGA
rnacentral:lncRNA from 1 species